rnacentral:lncRNA from 1 species
AGGUACCAGUCUUGUAUUACAACUCCAGUUUCCGGUGCAUGUCAAAACAUGGAGGGAAACAAAAUAGUCCAUUUUUUUCUGAAUUUUUUUCUGGACUCAAUUUUUUCUGUUUGAUUAUAGGUUUAUGCUGAAUUGAAACAUAUAUAUAGAUUUUUAAAAAAUCUUGCAUCUUAUUGGGAUAUCAAUCCAGGAAAGUGGAAGGAUAUCAUGUUUACUGGAAGUGGUGCGGCCCAGUAAAAACAGCAAACAGAAAGUAGAAAAAAAAAUGUUUUGACUUCAGGGUUAGGUAACUUUUUAUUCUUCGUGGCAAGACCCACUUUUUUUUCGAUUAAAUCACAAUUUCACAUUAGUACAUACAUGAUAUGAACAUGAAAAAAAAUUUCUAUGUAGAAUUUUAUUUUUUUUUAUUUUCAAAGAUGAGCUGUUUUGCAUGUAAGCCUAUGGAGCAGUCAAUUACAAGACUGCAACCUGCAUAGGGUAAUUUUUUCAUAUGUUCACUGCAAG